GACAGAGGGUGCAAACGUUGUUCGGAAUUACUGGGCGUAAAGCGCGUGUAGGCGGCUAUGCAAGUCGGGCGUGAAAUCCCACGGCUCAACCGUGGAAGUGCACUCGAAACUGCGUAGCUAGAGUCCCGGAGAGGAAGGUGGAAUACUUGGUGUAGAGGUGAAAUUCGUAGAUAUCAAGUGGAACACCGGUGGCGAAGGCGGCCUUCUGGACGGUGACUGACGCUGAGACGCGAAAGCGUGGGGAGCAAACGGG
rnacentral:rRNA from 1 species